GAUGAACGCUGGCGGCGUGCCUAAUACAUGCAAGUCGAGCGAACAGACGAGGAGCUUGCUCCUCUGACGUUAGCGGCGGACGGGUGAGUAACACGUGGAUAACCUACCUAUAAGACUGGGAUAACUUCGGGAAACCGGAGCUAAUACCGGAUAAUAUAUUGAACCGCAUGGUUCAAUAGUGAAAGACGGUUUUGCUGUCACUUAUAGAUGGAUCCGCGCCGCAUUAGCUAGUUGGUAAGGUAACGGCUUACCAAGGCAACGAUGCGUAGCCGACCUGAGAGGGGGGCCGCCCAAACUGGGACGGAGACAGGGACCAGACCCCUGGGGGAGGAGGAAGAGGGGAGUCUCCCGCAGGGGGGAAAGGCCUGCGGGGGCAACGCGGGGGGAGUAAUAAGGUUUUUGGGAUCAAAAACCUGUUUUAUGGGGAAAAAAAAAAUUUGAAAGUAACUAGGCAGUUUUGGAGGUUCCAUAACAAAAAACCCACGGCUAAUUAGGGG
rnacentral:rRNA from 1 species